AAGUCGUAACAAGGUAACCGUAGGUGAACCUGCGGUUGGAUCAUUACAAAAGGAUUCUUAUCCAACAAAUAACACCGUGUGAACUAUUUAAUGUCUUUUGGCGUGCGAGUGAGAUGGUGUAUAUCAUCCGCGCACGCCAGACUCUUUAAAGAACUCCAUUUCGAAUUUAUGUGUCUCUGAUUUAUUUGUUUCAAAUAACAAAAACAACUUUUGACAACGGAUCUCUUGGCUCUC
rnacentral:misc_RNA from 1 species